rnacentral:rRNA from 1 species
AUUGAACGCUGGCGGCAGGCCUAACACAUGCAAGUCGAGCGGAUGAAGGGAGCUUGCUCCUGGAUUCAGCGGCGGACGGGUGAGUAAUGCCUAGGAAUCUGCCUGGUAGUGGGGGAUAACGUCCGGAAACGGGCGCUAAUACCGCAUACGUCCUGAGGGAGAAAGUGGGGGAUCUUCGGACCUCACGCUAUCAGAUGAGCCUAGGUCGGAUUAGCUAGUUGGUGGGGUAAAGGCCUACCAAGGCGACGAUCCGUAACUGGUCUGAGAGGAUGAUCAGUCACACUGGAACUGAGGCACGGUCCAGACUCCUACGGGAGGCAGCAGUGGGGAAUAUUGGACAAUGGGCGAAAGCCUGAUCCAGCCAUGCCGCGUGUGUGAAGAAGGUCUUCGGAUUGUAAAGCACUUUAAGUUGGGAGGAAGGGCAGUAAGUUAAUACCUCGCUGUUUUGACGUUACCAACAGAAUAAGCACCGGCUAACUUCGUG